GUGCUUACUUCGGCAACACAUAUACUACAACCGGAAUGACACAGAGAAGAUUAGCAUGGCCCCUGUGCAAGGAUGAAACGCAAAUUUGUGAAGCGUUCCGUAUCUUU
rnacentral:snRNA from 1 species